UGAAGCAAGGUGAACUACAGCAGAUGUCCGGCCCCAAGACCUCCCGCACCCUGCGGACCAAGAAGCUCUUCAGAGAGAUUUACCUCUUCCUCUUCAAUGACCUGCUGGUGAUCUGCCGGCAGAUCCCUGGAGACAAGUACCAGGUGUUCGAUUCCGCUCCAAGGGGCCUGCUGCGAGUGGAGGAGCUGGAGGACCAGGGCCAGACACUGGCUAAUGUGUUCAUCCUGCGGCUGCUGGAAAACGCAGAUGACCGGGAGGCCACCUAUAUGCUGAAGGCAUCCUCCCAGUGAGUGUCCAGCACUGUGAGCUACACCCAGUGUCACUCAUAGGCUUGUCUUCCCCAUAGGUAAAACAGGGCUCAAGAUACAUCUGUAGAAGGCUUGCUCACACUACCCAGCAUGACUCCUUCCCGUGGGAACUCUGGUAGAGGCUUUUUCAGGCUCUUCAUGGUGGGGUUUAGAUGGCAUGGAUGGCUAUAUAUUCCUGGGCAAGGAGGACAAGU
rnacentral:lncRNA from 1 species